rnacentral:rRNA from 1 species
AAAAGAAACCAACAGGGAUUGCCCCAGUAACGGCGAGUGAAGCGGCAACAGCUCAAAUUUGAAAUCUGGCCCCCAGGGCCCGAGUUGUAAUUUGCAGAGGAUGCUUUUGGCGCGGUGCCUUCCGAGUUCCCUGGAACGGGACGCCAUAGAGGGUGAGAGCCCCGUCUGGUCGGACGCCUAGCCUGUGUAAAGCUCCUUCGACGAGUCGAGUAGUUUGGGAAUGCUGCUCUAAAUGGGAGGUAUAUGUCUUCUAAAGCUAAAUACCGGCCAGAGACCGAUAGCGCACAAGUAGAGUGAUCGAAAGAUGAAAAGCACUUUGAAAAGAGGGUUAAAUAGUACGUGAAAUUGUUGAAAGGGAAGCGCUUGUGACCAGACUUGGGCCCGGUGGAUCAUCCAGCGUUCUCGCUGGUGCACUCCGCCGGGUUCAGGCCAGCAUCAGUUCGCCGCGGGGGAAAAAGGCUUCGGGAACGUGGCUCCUACGGGAGUGUUAUAGCCCGUUGCAUAAUACCCUGGGGCGGACUGAGGUUCGCGCUCCGCAAGGAUGCUGGCGUAAUGGUCAUCAGCGCC